rnacentral:rRNA from 1 species
GUCGAGCGAUGAAGCACCUUCGGGUGUGAAUUAGCGGCGAACGGGUGAGGAACACGUGAAGAAUCUGCCUUCAACUCUGGGAUAACUCCGGGAAACCGGGGCUAAUACCGGAUAUGAGCCUUGAUCGCAUGAUCGGGGCUGGAAAGUUUUUCGGUUGAAGAUGACUUCGCGGCCUAUCAGCUUGUUGGUGAGGUAAUGGCUCACCAAGGCGACGACGGGUAGCCGGCCUGAGAGGGCGACCGGCCACACUGGGACUGAGACACGGCCCAGACUCCUACGGGAGGCAGCAGUGGGGAAUAUUGGGCAAUGGAGGAAACUCUGACCCAGCGACGCCGCGUGAGGGAUGAAGGCCUUCGGGUUGUAAACCUCUUUCAGUAGGGAAGAAGCGAAAGUGACGGUACCUACAGAAGAAGCACCGGCUAACUAUGUGCCAGCAGCCGCGGUAAUACAUAGGGUGCAAGCGUUGUCCGGAAUUAUUGGGCGUAAAGAGCUCGUAGGUGGUUCGUCACGUCGGAUGUGAAACUCUGGGGCUUAACCCCAGACCUGCAUUCGAUACGGGCGAGCUUGAGUAUGGUAGGGGAGUCUGGAAUUCCUGGUGUAGCGGUGGAAUGCGCAGAUAUCAGGAGGAACACCAAUGGCGAAGGCAGGACUCUGGGCCAUUACUGACACUGAGGAGCGAAAGCGUGGGGAGCGAACAGGAUUAGAUACCCUGGUAGUCCACGCCGUAAACGGUGGGCACUAGUUGUG